CACCACUCUCUGAGCCUUUGCAAACACACACCUUCAUGGCCUGUCAAAGAGAAGUCACAAUGCUGUACUGGAAAUACGAGUUCCAUGCACAUGAUGACAGAGCAGGACAAACAGGGCAAGAGACACAGAAUUCCCCAUCCCACCACAUGUGUAUCUGAAAUAAGGCAGUUGCACUUUCAGCCACAGUGCUGUAACUUCAGUCCAGCUCCCCAGAGAGGUUGCAUGAAGAACAUGCAUCAUGGCACAGGAGCAGACAGCAGAUACUAACUGCCAUAGCUGGAACAGCCCUGUUUCCUCUGCGUCUGCAGCGAAGCACUGCAGCCCCACGCCACAAGACCAGUUCUACUCAUCUGGAAACACCAAAAAGAGGGCCCUCCACAAUUCAUUACCGCUUGUUUGCCAGGGGAAAACAUCCAUGCAGAAAAGCAGCCGGCUGGGGCUGCACAUACAUGCCUCAGAUGCAAAGCCCAGCAAUUUUUUUUUUAAGUGCUGGUGAAAGCUGGUUUGUGCUAAGACAGCAGACUUUGCACUGAGACACGUGCAGGUGCUCCACCCUGCCAGGCCAGCUGCAGCAGGGACAGGACAGAUGGAACAACUGGAGGGGUUCUGCCUUCAGCAACCUCAGCGCAAUUUGCCAGGCUGUCUCUGUCCUCGUCCCUGGACUGAAAGAGUGGGCAAACUGCUUUGUCCAAGGAAUAAACGCAAGUAUUAUGCAUAACAGGGUACCUGCAUGAUGGAUGAAGUAAACCUGCAACUUCUCGCAUUUGCAAGCAGAAUAAUUCAGUGGGAAAAUUCUGGUUCAUGGAGUUCAGAGAAUUUAGUUCACAACACCUUCAGGUUUGGUGGCCUUCUGCUAAAUCCAGGAUGGAGGCGAAACAUUUCCAUGGUUACAGCAGACAGCUGAAAGCAAAGAAGUCCUCCGAGUUUUGUGGUUCUGCAUCAGAGCCACCAGCCAAGAUCAUUAAAGACAGUGGGCAUGUUUACACAGAACAGAGGCACCCGGGAACUGCAGGCAGCAUCACAGCCUCAGGACAGCACGGUGCCGACAUGUGCGCUAGCUCGUGUGUGUGCCAAGGGAGAGCUGUACCACACUGCUGUAGCUAGACUGAUGGUGACUCUCUGCAAACUGCGCAUGGCAUGAAACAUGAAUACCCCAGCUUCAUGAGCUUCAAGGGAAGCCAUGGCAAGUUUGUUAGCUCAUGUGGGGUAUUAGGAAGGAAGAUAAGCACAACGAGAACACAUCAAAUGUGGUAUAUGUAGCGGGAUUAAUAGGGCAAGAGACAUAACAGAGAAGGAAAAUUAUGAUCUAAUGUACUGCACAUCAUUUUUAAGAUUCAGCAAGACUUUCGUGUUCAGAUUCAUAUUUCGUAGGCAUUUCCCUCUCCCUUUUCAUUAGAUACCAAAAAUCUUUAUCAUCUUCUCCAUGUUUUUGUUCCCCAUUUCCUUUUUCCCCGUGCAUUGUUUCUUCUCAUUUUCUGAGUAUUUGCAAAACUCAAUUUCACAAAAGCUCAUUUUUCAUACAUACCAGGUUGUAAAAUAUAGGAGCCAAUUGUUGCUCUCUCUCACAGAUGUAAAGACAGAUCUAAAAUUGCAGUAAAAAUGUUU